rfam:Schistosoma haematobium scaffold782_59, whole genome shotgun sequence.
GGCUUUCCGAAUUCGUAAGGAGAUUUCGUCAAACAACAAACCACCAGGACUGAUGAGAUUACCAAGAUAAAUGAAAUU